GAUGAACGCUGGCGGCGUGCCUAAUACAUGCAAGUCGAGCGAACGGACGAGAAGCUUGCUUCUCUGAUGUUAGCGGCGGACGGGUGAGUAACACGUGGAUAACCUACCUAUAAGACUGGGAUAACUUCGGGAAACCGGAGCUAAUACCGGAUAAUAUUUUGAACCGCAUGGUUCAAAAGUGAAAGACGGUCUUGCUGUCACUUAUAGAUGGAUCCGCGCUGCAUUAGCUAGUUGGUAAGGUAACGGCUUACCAAGGCAACGAUGCAUAGCCGACCUGAGAGAGUGAUCGGCCACACUGGAACUGAGCCACGGUCCAGACUCCUACGGGAGGCAGCAGUAGGGAAUCUUCCGCAAUGGGCGAAAGCCUGACGGAGCAACGCCGCGUGAGUGAUGAAGGUCUUCGGAUCGUAAAACUCUGUUAUUAGGGAAGAACAUAUGUGUAAGUAACUGUGCACAUCUUGACGGUACCUAAUCAGAAAGCCACGGCUAACUACGUG
rnacentral:rRNA from 1 species